rnacentral:tRNA from 1 species
GAGGGUAUAGCUCAGUGGUAGAGCCUGCACUUAGCAUGCAUGAGGUCCUAAGUUCAAUCCCCAGUACCUCCA